UUCAAAUAAAAUAAAACUUUCUAUUCAUCAAAGAAUCCUGGAGAAAUAUGUAUCAUGGCUUCUUCCACAAACAUAUAUUAAUCAGCACAAUGGUUUUCAAUACUGAUAAUAAGAAUUGUUCUUGAGCGAAUCAGCAUAUCAAAAUGAUAUCUGAAGGGUCAUGUGACACUGAAGACUGGGGUAAUGAUGCUUAAAAUUCAGCUUU